rfam:Gossypium raimondii Chr10_contig_17, whole genome shotgun sequence.
UGUUAAAAAUUUCAUCCAUUUCUACUGCUAAAAAUUGGCAUGGUUGAUAAAAUAAUGAAACAGUUAUUUUGAUGUACAGGAUCUUAUUUUUAACAAUAAAAAUGGAUGGAUUUUUUAACA